GACGGGGGGGGGCUAGUGUUAUUCGGAAUGACUAGGCGUAAAGGGCACGUAGGCGGUGAAUCCGGUUGAAAGUGAAAGUCGCCAGCUCAACUGGCGGAAUGCUUUCAAAACCAAUUCACUUGAGUAAGAUAGAGGAUAGUGGAAUUUCGUGUGUAGAGAUAAAAUUCACAGAUAUACGAAGGAACACCAAAAGCGAAGGCAGCUUUCUGGGUCUCUACUGACGCUGAGGUGCGAAAGCAUAGGGAGCAAACAGG
rnacentral:rRNA from 1 species